rnacentral:tRNA from 1 species
AGCUUAGGAGUGUUACCAUAUGAGAUUGCAAAUCUCGAGAAGCAGACUAACCUCUGCCUAGGCUU